ACGAACGCUGGCGGCAGGCCUAACACAUGCAAGUCGAACGCCCGUAGCAAUACGGGAGUGGCGGACGGGAGAGAAACGCGUGGGUAUCUACCUAGCAGUACGGAAUAACCGCGGGAAACUGCGGCUAAUACCGUAUACGCCCUACGGGGGAAAGAUUUAUCGCUGCUAGAUGAGCCCGCGUCCGAUUAGCUAGUUGGCGGGGUAAUGGCCCACCAAGGCUAUGAUCGGUAGCUGGUCUGAGAGGACGAUCAGCCUCACUGGGACUGAGACACGGCCCAGACUCCUACGGGAGGCAGCAGUGGGGAAUAUUGGACAAUGGGGGAAACCCUGAUCCAGCCAUGCCGCGUGGGUGAUGAAGGCCUUCGGGUUGUAAAGCCCUUUUGGCGGGGACGAUAAUGACGGUACCCGCAGAAUAAGCCCCGGCUAACUUCGU
rnacentral:rRNA from 1 species